rnacentral:rRNA from 1 species
GACGAACGCUGGCGGCGUGCUUAACACAUGCCAGUCGAACGGAAAGGCCCUGCCUUUGUGGGGUGCUCGAGUGGCGAACGGGUGAGUAACACGUGAGUAACCUGCCCUUGACUUUGGGAUAACUUCAGGAAACUGGGGCUAAUACCGGAUAGGAGCUCCUGCUGCAUGGUGGGGGUUGGAAAGUUUCGGCGGUUGGGGAUGGACUCGCGGCUUAUCAGCUUGUUGGUGGGGUAGUGGCUUACCAAGGCUUUGACGGGUAGCCGGCCUGAGAGGGUGACCGGCCACAUUGGGACUGAGAUACGGCCCAGACUCCUACGGGAGGCAGCAGUGGGGAAUAUUGCACAAUGGGCGGAAGCCUGAUGCAGCAACGCCGCGUGCGGGAUGACGGCCUUCGGGUUGUAAACCGCUUUCGCCUGUGACGAAGCGUGAGUGACGGUAAUGGGUAAAGAAGCACCGGCUAACUACGUG